AGGAAUUCCUCAGUGCCUAGAG
rnacentral:miRNA from 10 species